rnacentral:rRNA from 1 species
GAUGAACGCUAGCGGCAGGCCUAACACAUGCAAGUCGAGGGGCAGCACAGAAACAGCAAUGUUUUGGUGGCGACCGGCGGACGGGUGCGUAACGCGUAUGCAACCUACCUUUAACAGGGGGAUAACGGAGAGAAAUUUCCACUAAUACCCCAUAACAUCGAUCAAGGCAUCUUGAUUGGUUGAAAACUCCGGUGGUUAAAGAUGGGCAUGCGUUGUAUUAGGUAGUUGGUGAGGUAAUGGCUCACCAAGCCUACGAUACAUAGGGGGACUGAGAGGUUAGGCCCCCACACUGGUACUGGGACACGGACCAGACUCCUACGGGAAGCAGCAGUGAGGAAUAUUGGUCAAUGGGGGCAACCCUGAACCAGCCAUGCCGCGUGCAGGAAGACGGCUCUAUGAGUUGUAAACUGCUUUUAAACAGGGAUAAAGCACAGUAUGUAUACUGUGUUGAAGGUACUGUAAGAAUAAGGAUCGGCUAACUCCGUGCCAGCCGCCGCAGUAA